rnacentral:tRNA from 1 species
CCUGGUGGCUCAAAUGGUAGAGCAUCUGCCUGCAAUGCAGGAGACCCAGGUUCAAUCCCUGGGUCAGGA